rnacentral:rRNA from 1 species
UACGUAGGGGGCAAGCGUUGUCCGGAUUUAUUGGGCGUAAAGAGCUCGUAGGUGGUUCGGUAAGUCGGAUGUGAAAUCUCCGGGCUCAACCCGGAGACGCCACCCGAUACUGUCGUGACUGGAGUCCGGUAGGGGAGUGGGGAAUUCCUGGUGUAGCGGUGAAAUGCGCAGAUAUCAGGAGGAACACCGGUGGCGAAGGCGCCACUCUGGGCCGGUACUGACGCUGAGGAGCGACAGCGUGGGGAGCAAACAGG